AGAGAAGAAGCACAGGUCCUGAGCCUUUUUUUUUUUUCUUCUCCAAUUUUCUUUUCUCCGGUAUUUUCUUUUUCCUUUUUGCCUUGCUGUCUUCUUUUCGUCUCCAAAACGGAGCGAAGCAAAGAGAGUGAAGGUGAGGGAGCGAACGACUGCUUCAAAAGAUGCGACAAAAAAGAA
rnacentral:ribozyme from 11 species